CACAUAGGGGGACAGUUAGACUGUGAGGCAGCAAUGGAAUGCUUGGAGACAUGAACAACUCUAGGAAACGCAAUAACUCCCUUAAAUGUUCACUACAGAUCGGAUGUGCAGUGAAUAGGGAAAAUACAGGGGAUCUUACAGGAAUCUUUUGAAGGAGAACGAGAUGAGCUCCUCUGGGAAAGGCAUAAUGGCGCUGUGAUGAACACUCGUUUUGUAUUUCAGGAAUGCAUAUGGCAUAAUACCAAAGUGGACUGUAAAA